CGGUCGCUCGCUCUACGGCUCAAGCUAAGCUCAGGCUUCACGUGCGUCGACUAGCUGCCGCUAGAGAAAUGAUGGGAGAUGGGAGUGGAGGGGCGACGGCGAGAAACGAGCGGCGUAUAAAUCGCGGCGACGUGCACACGCGGGAGCUUCCUGUGGACGAGAGGGCCUCUGCGGUUAGGCGACGGCUGGUCCCUGAUGACUAGUGUCUCUCGCUCGCUCGCGCUCUGGCAGGGAGCGCUCGCCGCGGCCGGGAAUUUGAUUUUGC
rnacentral:lncRNA from 1 species